AUUGAACGCUGGCGGCAGGCCUAACACAUGCAAGUCGAGCGGAUCGGCGGACGGGUAAGUAAUGCCUAGGUCUCUGCCUGGUAGUGGUGGAUAACGUCCGGUAACGGACGCUAUUACCGCAUCCUAUCAGAUUCGCCUAGGUCGGAUUAGCUAGUUGGUGGGGUAAAGGCCUACCAAGGCGACGGUCCGUAACUGGUCUGAGAGGAUGAUCAGCCACACUGGAACUGAGACACGGUCCAGACUCCUACGGGAGGCAGCAGUGGGGAAUAUUGGACAAUGGGCGAAAGCCUGAUCCAGCCAUGCCGCGUGUGUGAAGAAGGUCUUCGGAUUGUAAAGCACUUUAAGUUGGGAGGCGUUACCAACAGAAUAAGCACCGGCUAACUUCGUGCCAGCAGCCGCGGUAAUUC
rnacentral:rRNA from 1 species